AGGCAGUGUGAUGUUUGCUGG
rnacentral:miRNA from 1 species